GAGUUUGAUCCUGGCUCAGAUUGAACGCUGGCGGCAUGCCUUACACAUGCAAGUCGAACGGCAGCACGGGAGCAAUCCUGGUGGCGAGUGGCGAACGGGUGAGUAAUAUAUCGGAACGUGCCCAGUCGUGGGGGAUAACGCAGCGAAAGCUGUGCUAAUACCGCAUACGAUCUAUGGAUGAAAGCGGGGGAUCGCAAGACCUCGCGCGAUUGGAGCGGCCGAUAUCAGAUUAGCUAGUUGGUGGGGUAAAAGCCCACCAAGGCGACGAUCUGUAGCUGGUCUGAGAGGACGACCAGCCACACUGGAGCUGAGACACGGUCCAGACUCCUACGGGAGGCAGCAGUGGGGAAUUUUGGACAAUGGGCGCAAGCCUGAUCCAGCAAUGCCGCGUGCAGGAUGAAGGCCUUCGGGUUGUAAACUGCUUUUGUACGGAGCGAAACGGUCUGCCCUAAUACGGUGGGCUAAUGACGGUACCGUAAGAAUAAGCACCGGCUAACUACGUGCCAGCAGCCGCGGUAAUAC
rnacentral:rRNA from 1 species